CCCUCCUUCAUAAUCUGAGAAUUCACACAAGGAAGUUCAUAUGCACAUUCUCCCAUUAAAGAUUGAAAUACCUUCAAAAAUUCCUGCUCAACAAAUAAAGGAUCAGUUAGUUUUAUUCCAGCUUAGUAUAGAUGGAUGUAAUGUUGUUUUGCCCUGUUCUAAUCUUCCAUUGAGCAUGAAAGUAUUUUGUAUUUGAGUCUCCACAUUCAAUCCAUGUAGCUUUUGACUUCUGCCUCAAUACUUUUUCUUCAAUAUUACUCCAUUUCUCAAGCUCCUCAAGUGCCUUCUUUUCCUUUUGGAUGAGCUCCUGUGUACAAGGUUUGUUUUGCAUCAGAGUUUGGAUGAUGUCAAGUUGUUCCCUGGCCUGGAUAACAUUCUGCUGGUAAGCUGCCAUAUAUGAAUUGAUCUCCUUUAAUUGUUGUUUUAGACUCUUCAAUUUCUACCAAAUCUGCUGAAUGGGAUUGCCCACAUAUUCUUGUUUCCAUGCCUGCUGGACUAUGUUAGGAAAUUUAGGAUGCUCCAUGACUACAUUAUAUAAUCGAAAAGGUUUAGGAUGCAAAGGUUUCUGCAUUCCAAACUUAACAAGAAUAGGGGAAUGGUCAGAUAUUGAAGGGUUCAAGUAAUCUGCUUCCAAGUGUCCAAACUGCUGCAACCACUGAUAGUUACCUAGUGCCCAAUCAAUCUUACUAUAUACU
rnacentral:lncRNA from 1 species